UAGCGAAGGGUGCAAGCGUUACUCGGGAAUUACUGGGCGUAAAGCGUGCGUAGGUGGUUUGUUAAGUCUGUUGUGAAGCUCCAGGCUCAACCUGGAAAGUGCGCGCGAAACUGGCGAGCUUGAGUGCCGGAGAGGGGUCGCGGAACUCCGAGUGUAGAGGUGAAAUUCGUAGAUAUUCGGAAGAACACCAGUGGCGAAGGCGACUCACUGGCCCGAUACUGACGCUGAGGCGCGAAAGCGUGGGGAGCAAAGCAGG
rnacentral:rRNA from 1 species